rnacentral:tRNA from 1 species
GGGGUUGUGGCGUAGUUGGUUAGCACACAAGUCUCAUUGACUGCUUGAGGAAUGUUGAGGUUGAGAGUUCGAACCUCUCUCACCCCA